rnacentral:rRNA from 1 species
UACGAAGGGGGGCUAGCGUUGCUCGGAAUGACUGGGCGUAAAGGGCACGUAGGCGGUGAAUCGGGUUGAAAGUGAAAGUCGCCAAAAAAGUGGCGGAAUGCUCUCGAAACCAAUUCACUUGAGUGAGACAGAGGAGAGUGGAAUUUCGUGUGUAGGGGUGAAAUCCGUAGAUCUACGAAGGAACGCCAAAAGCGAAGGCAGCUCUCUGGGUCCCUACCGACGCUGGGUGCGAAAGCAUGGGAGCGAACAGGG